rnacentral:rRNA from 2 species
AGCAUAGCGAUUUGGGAUAAGUCCCUUGGAAAAGGGCAGCACAGAGGGUGAUACUCCCGUCUUUGCUCAGAUUGUCUAUGUGUACGAUACGCUUUCUUUGAGUCGAGUUGUUUGGGAGUACAGCUCAAAGUAGGUGGUAAAUUCCAUCUAAAGCUAAAUAUUGGUGCGAGACCGAUAGCGAACAAGUACCGUGAGGGAAAGAUGAAAAGAACUUUGAAAAGAGAGUUAAAGAGUACCUGAAACUGUUGAAAGGGAACCGUAACAUGUCCAGUGUUGUAUCUUGUGCAUAUUUCAUUAGUGGAGCAAUUUACUGGUGCCCUGUGCAUGAGUGUGACGUCAAAGUCAGUUUGUAUGCUGCGGGAGAUGGUUAGCAAGGAGGUGCGUCACUUUGUGUCAGUUAUACCUUGUUAUCUAGUAGCCGUGGUUGAGACUGAGGUGCC